rnacentral:rRNA from 1 species
UACGUAGGGGGCAAGCGUUAUCCGGAUUUACUGGGUGUAAAGGGAGCGUAGACGGUGAAGCAAGUCUGAAGUGAAAGGCGGGGGCUCAACCCCCGGACUGCUUUGGAAACUGUUCAACUGGAGUGCUGGAGAGGUAAGCGGAAUUCCUAGUGUAGCGGUGAAAUGCGUAGAUAUUAGGAGGAACACCAGUGGCGAAGGCGGCUAACUGGACUGUAACUGACGCUGAGGCACGAAAGUGUGGGGAGCAAACAGG